rfam:Otolemur garnettii contig131415, whole genome shotgun sequence.
AUUCAUCCACGGGUGGGGAUUUGUUGCAUUACUUGUGUUCUAUAUAAAGUAUUGCACUUGUCCCGGCCUGUGGAAGAAAG